GUCUUCAAGAUAAUGUUAUUUUCAUAAAUUUGAAACUUCUUCAUGAGGGAGCUGUGCUGAACUGGAGUUUGAAGAAGGGACUGCCAACAGAUCUUCAAUAUUCAUCUUGCAGCACUUAUACAGAAUGGCUUCACGGGGGCAAAAAAUGUUGGAUAUGAUCAACAAGACAACAGAUUUAGAUGCUUCUACCCAUACAACACGUGGAUCCAAGACCAUCUCUUUCAAGGAUCUUUUCCCGGAUUCCAACUUCACAACCAAAGAAGAGACAGCUGAAAUUGGGAAAUUGAUUGAAAAUGACUUAGGUGAGGUAAUUGUUUUGGAUAACAAUAUUUUCCAACCGGGACCAUCCAACAAUACGGAAGUUUUUGAAAGCAAUGGAACACCAGAUUUGUCAUCAAUAAUGACUGUAGAAUCUAAUGAGACACUCAUCAAUUACCAACCAGGUACAUCUGGUGAUAUUAAUUUAUUGGGUAGUAGCAACUCAACAAAUCCAUCUUCGUUUGAUUCAAUCCAGAAUGGGAUAAUAAUUGUAGAUUCUAUGGAGCACCAAUUGAUAGCAUUAGUUUUGAACCAGGCACCUCUGACAAUAACCCAAUUGAAGGCUUUGUUAGCAAUGAAGCACCAGAUUUAUCUUCAAUCAAUAUAGAGUCCAAUGGGGAACUGAUUAAUGUGAUUGGAGAUCCUGAGGUACAUAUGAAUGAUGUGAGCUUUGAAAGAAAUACAUCUGACU
rnacentral:misc_RNA from 1 species